AUGUGGGAGGAGGGACUACAGCCUCCCCGUCUUUCACUUCCUAGAAACGCGCGUAGAUACUGCGACCUUUCGGCCUGUGAUUGGACGAAACGUGCGUCCGUCAUUCGCGAAAGAGGACGUACGUGGACCUCAGGUGCCGCGUGGCAGAUGGGAAAUGUAGUCCUCUACGGUUUAACUUCCAGCGAGUUAGUCCCUGUGCUUCUGGUGACCAGCAGCAGUUCUUCCCCACAGUGUCCAGCCCUCAGGAUGUUAACACUGCAGCGUCUGGUUUCUUUGGUCAGUCUUCACACAGCUUGGCAGUUCCAACCUUACUGUAUGUUAAACAAAAUUCCAUGGAAGGACCCAUCGAACUGAAGGACUCUUCUGAAGAAGUUGAUGACAUUCUCAAACCCACAGUAGACCUGUGUGGGUAUAUCUCUGUGUUCCAUUAAGAGCAGGACAGGUUGUGUUGUUUUAUCAGGCUGCAUGUCAUCAGCAGCCGGAGGCUCUCUCCCUACAUCACUUCCACUGUGACCAAAGGAUUUGGCUUGAGGUUUAAUCAAAAGAAAAGAAUAUUUGUUAAUUUUUUCCAUUUCUUAAAAAAAUAUAUAUUUGCGCUGU
rnacentral:lncRNA from 1 species